rnacentral:tRNA from 1 species
GGGCGAGUGGCGGAAUGGCAGACGCGCCGGACUUAGGAUCCGGUGGAGCAAUCCGUAGGGGUUCGAGUCCCCUUUCGCCCACCA